AACAAUUCAGUUUUUGGUUACUACAACUGUUUUCUUCAGUGUUUCCACAUUGUAUUUCUGUUUUGGUUCUAUGCUUUCAGCUCUCAUUAAUAAAACAUAUUUAUGGUGUGUUGCAGAGAUCUACAGUUGUAACAAAUUUAAGCUGAAGCAAAAAAACUUACAACUAAAAGCAAUAUUUUGACUUGAAAUAUCUGUUUUUCCU